rnacentral:rRNA from 1 species
GACGAACCGCCCGAACGUUAUUCGGAAUCACUGGGCUUAAAGGGCGCGUAGGCGGGCCUGAAAGUCAGGGGUGAAAUCCCACGGCUCAACCGUGGAAGUGCCUCUGAUACUUCAGGCCUCGAGGGAGGUAGGGGCGUGUGGAACUUCCGGUGGAGCGGUGAAAUGCGUAGAUAUCGGAAGGAACGUCGGUGGCGAAAGCGGCGCGCUGGACCUCUUCUGACGCUGAGGCGCGAAAGCCAGGGGAGCGAACGGG